UACGUAGGGUGCAAGCGUUAAUCGGAAUUACUGGGCGUAAAGCGUGCGCAGGCGGUUUUGUAAGUCUGUCGUGAAAUCCCCGGGCUCAACCUGGGAAUUGCGAUGGAGACUGCAAGGCUAGAAUCUGGCAGAGGGGGGUAGAAUUCCACGUGUAGCAGUGAAAUGCGUAGAGAUGUGGAGGAACACCGAUGGCGAAGGCAGCCCCCUGGGUCAAGAUUGACGCUCAUGCACGAAAGCGUGGGGAGCAAACAGGG
rnacentral:rRNA from 1 species